rnacentral:snoRNA from 1 species
UGGACUUACAGACAGGUGCAAAAAAUAAAUCCUCUUUUGCAACCCAGAACUCAUUGUUCAGUAUGAGUUUUGAUACAUAUAAGAAGGAAUAUU